rnacentral:lncRNA from 1 species
GUUCAAGGGGAGCACCUUGCCAGGUGCUAAUGCCGUGCCUCUUAACGUCCAGCGUGUUCCGGGUGCGCUGUAGGUGCAAAAUGCCGGACCGAAAUCGUCUUUCGAUGACUUGAAGCAGGGUUCCUGGGCCCAAACAGGAUAAUAUUCAGAUGGACUAACGAUAACAAGAUGAUAAUUUUUGACUAUAACAAUACGAUAGAUCGAUUGGGUGAAACUUCCGGCUUCUCGAAGGGCCACUAUUUCGUCGUGUCCCUUGAACUUACUAUGCCGUCUACUGAUGGCUUCGCUGAGCUCAAGGCCCAUGUAAACGGUGUUGACAAAGGCAAAUUCUGGCACCCCUAUAAAACUUCAAUGAAUAAGUUCAUUCAAGAAUACGCAACUGGCUGUAAAUCGUGCGCAGGAGUUACGACUACGGAACAUCACCUGUACUACUACGGUAUUACCGAAC